AACGCGAAGAACCUUACCAACCCUUGACAUCCUGUGCCACUCCGAGAGAUCGGACGUUCCCUUCGGGGACGCAGUGACAGGUGCUGCAUGGCUGUCGUCAGCUCGUGUCGUGAGAUGUUCGGUUAAGUCCGGCAACGAGCGCAACCCACACCCUUAGUUGCCAGCAGUUCGGCUGGGCACUCUAAGGGAACUGCCCGUGAUAAGCGGGAGGAAGGUGUGGAUGACGUCAAGUCCUCAUGGCCCUUACGGGUUGGGCUACACACGUGCUACAAUGGCAGUGACAAUGGGUUAAUCCCAAAAAACUGUCUCAGUUCGGAUUGUUCUCUGCAACUCGAGAGCAUGAAGUCGGAAUCGCUAGUAAUCGCGUAACAGCAUGACGCGGUGAAUACGUUCCCCGGGUCUUGUACACACCG
rnacentral:rRNA from 1 species